GCAUUGGUAGUUCAUUGGAAGGAUUCUCGUCUUCCACUCCAGAGGCCUAAGUUUGAUUCCUGGCCAGUGUA
rnacentral:tRNA from 1 species